CAUUGACUUCGGUCAAUGUCAGUGGCGAACGGUCGCGUAACACGUAAGCAACCUGCCCGAGAGUGGGGGAUAACGGCCCGAAAGGGCCGCUAAUACCGCAUGCGGUCAAGGGGAGGCAUCUUUCCUUGUCCAAAGCUUUAUGCGCUCUUGGAUGGGCUUGCGGCCUAUCAGGUAGUCGGUGGGGUAACGGCCUACCGAGCCAUUGACGGGUAGCUGGUCUGAGAGGACGAUCAGCCGGAUUGGGACUGAGAUACGGCCCAGACUCCUACGGGGGGCAGCAAUUAGGAAUCUUGCGCAAUGGGGGCAACCCUGACGCAGCGACGCCGCGUGCGGGACGAAGGCAUUCGUGUCGUAAACCGCUUUUUUGGGGGAAGAAGGAUGUGACGGUACCCCAAGAAUAAGCCCCGGCUAACUACGUGCCAGCAGCCGCGGUAAUACGUAGGGGGCGAGCGUUGUCCGAAGUUACUGGGCGUAAAGCGCGCGUAGGCGGUCUCUUAAGUCCGGGGUGAAAGGUUCAGCGCUCAACGCGAACAGUGCCUUGGAGACUGGGAGACUUGAGUGUGGGAGGGGGCAGUGGAAUUCCGGGUGUAGCGGUGAAAUGCGUAGAUAUCCGGAGGAACACCGAUGGCGAAGGCAGCUGCCUGGCCUGACACUGACGCUGAGGUGCGAAAGCGUGGGGAGCGAACGGGAUUAGAUACCCCGGUAGUCCACGCCGUAAACGAUGAGUGCUAGGUGUUCGGGGUAUCGACCCCCCGGGUGCCGCCGCUAACGCAGUAAGCACUCCGCCUGGGGAGUACGGCCGCAAGGUUGAAACUC
rnacentral:rRNA from 1 species